UCUCAUACUCAGAUAUUUUUCAUGUCUCUUUCUCCUCUUCCUUCGCUCGCUUUCUGCUCUCUCUUCGCUACAAUUUCAUUGACUUUCCUCAUGAAGUGGAUUCACUGUUCCCAUUCCGCGUUUCGUUUCUUCUUUCUCUCUCAGCUAUUCCGGCCUGAGAUUGCGAUUUUCUUGACCUAGGGUUGGCAUCGAUGCUCUUUCCUGCGUAUAUUUUCGCUUAACGAGCGUAUUUUCUUGGGAGCUUGAUGACCUUGAGACGGUUUCUUUUUAGGAUCCGUUUGGCUGCCGAGACAGCAUGGGCUAGUAACGGCAGAUAAAACUAUAUUAAUUGGAAGAUCACAAGCAGAUAUCAUUCCGAAGAUGAUCUGUCUUCAGCCAUCAGUUUUAAGUUUGAUGCAAAAAGCUGAAUCUGAACAAGUGGCUCAGGAUGAUCAAUAAAGCUGUCUUGUUAAGUAAACCAGUAGUGGCCGCUGUUGCGCCAUUUAAAGCUGCAGAUCUUCUAUUCUAUUUGUGGAUUCAAGUGACAUUGAACUUCUGCCAGCUUGAUGAACAGAGUACCUUGCCACAACCGCUUAAAAACUAAAGAGAUGCCUCUGUUGCUGCUCCGGGUAGUAGUUUUAUUUGAAGUUAAAAGUAAAGCCAUUCCCAUUACAGAAAAGAUUCAGUAAGAGUAUAAUCUAUGCCUUGAACGUAAAUUCACAGAAACAAGUUGAGGACUGGGUACUGAAGAAUACCUUGACUUCUGAGGCCGGGUUCCCAAGUUGGUGAUGAUCCUCCUUUGAUUUGCUGUACCGUUCAAUUACUGAUUUCAUGCUGGUAAAAGCAUAUUCAAAUUUUAUCAGAGAGGCAGUCAUUGCUGUUUGUAACAACUUCUACAAAAAGGAGUUUGAUUCAUUUGAAAUAGAUGAUCGUAGUUGGAACUCGGAGCUUGCUAAAGAUAAUAUGGCGAUGGAUAUUAACAAGAAUUUCGAGGAUGACACUUCAACUCUAUCUAUUUCCAAUUAUGUUAAUAAUUGAUGUCGACGCUUAGUGAAGAGACUUUAUCAUGUUAUUUGUUGGAGAAUAAUCUUUUUAAAAAUUUUGUUACUACUAUGUUUGUUUAUUUAGAUGGACUUUAUUGGACUGUAAUCUUAUUUUGAUUGGAUAUAAA